ACGCUGCUAAAAUUUGCAAUAUCUGUUCAGUUUCCCAUUCAAAACUCAAGAAAAAAAAAACAACUUAUCUUUCCAUUUUGUUUUCUUCGCAGCACACAUUAACUUCUAAUAUACUAUAUAGACUCUAAGAGUUUCAUUUUUUUUUCCUAUCUUCCCCAUCAAAAUGCAAACUCUCAUUUUUUUUCUAGUUUACUAGUGUGGUCCAAGAAUCUAGAAGUGCUGUCUGGAACACAGUUCAAAUGUUGGAAGUUGGGUCCUCACUGGAAGAAGAGGAUGCGGUGGGAACUAGGGAGGUCAUCAGAUUAUUAGGGAAGCUGCCCUAAACAAGGAUUAACAUAGUUCUCAUGGGACCCCCAACUAAUUCCUAAGAGAAUUAUUAUUGAAAGAGAAAUACUGACUCCUCCCUGGGUCCUGGCUAAAUAUCUCACUAUGUGAUGAUUCUAUCUACCUGCACUUUUACCAUUACGAGGCUGAUUACCAUGAUAUCCCCAGCAAAGCUAAGCCAAUGUAAUCAUCACACCCUUGGACCUCCAAAUCUACAAGCUAAAGAGAUCUUAUUUCUCUAGAAAUAAGUGUCAGAAAUUUUGUUACAGCAGCAUAAAACAGACUAAUACACUAUUUCAUUUUGUUUGACCUCAUAAUUAUCUGCUUUAUAAAGUGGACCAGGUAUGAUUAAAUCCUGUAUUCUUUAUAUCUUACUUAGAGAGAAAAUAUUGAAAGGUCAGUGAUACGGUCAAUUUCGCAUCACAUAAGCAAGAACAAAGCUCCUAGCUACAACAUCAAGGCCCUUGACACGUGAAACCUGAAGCACCAGGAAUUUAAUGUGCCCAAGAUCACACAGUUUUAAAAAUGGCAUAGAACGUUUGGAUGCUAAGGUGGAGUGAGUUGUUCCCACCACCUCCUCGACCCCAUCCCAGGAUCGUGGAGAAGGAAAGAUGGCAAUAGCCAAGUCAGUCACAGGCCCUUAAAUGACAGAUAAUCACACAUCUGACAGGAUGCCUCCACCUGGCCAAGCAAAGAGCAAUCACCCUGAAAGAAGCCCAGGGCAGCUGUAAGACACAGAAGGAGGAAACAGGUAGAUGGCUGCCCAAAGUUCCCAAGGAACCUCCAAGACUGUUCCCCUGGAGAGAGGGACAGAAGGUGUUUCAGAAAGGUCACUCAUCUCGAAAUAGCUACACUGUUCUUCCCCCACCUCUGUUGUGAAAAGAAACCUCUGAAAUGCAGGAUAAGGCUGACGCUGAAUCUUGAAUCUGCAGGCAGUGUGGUACCCGCAUUUCUCUAAAAUGUGCAUCCCUCCCCUGCACUUGUUGCCGAUCAAGGGAUCAAGCACCAUUGUAAACUGUAAGCUAUGGCGGAGGGCAAGAGAAAUCUAUUUGAGGAAUGCUUGUGUUCUCACGGAGAAGUCUGCGGCACAAGGAAUGCAAGGAGAGAAUGAACUGGAACAGAGAUGGGAAACGUGGGGUGUGCUUCUGAGAGAUACCAAUGUGAAAGUGUGAAGAGAACGGCUUUUAACAAAGGUAUCUGGUUCCCUCGGCUUAAGUCAGUAAGUCAGCCGUGUCCUGUUCAGUUUGAGAGUAGGUUCUGGACCCAGGAAGACACUGGGACUCACAGAGGAGCCAGUGGGAAGUCUCCAAUCUUUUCUGGGCAGAGAGGAGUGCUGCCGACGUAACUAAACCCACGGAAGAUGCGUUUUGCUUUUGCUUCAAGGACGCAUGUCUCUCUGGCUGCUGUAAGAGGGAAUGACAGCUACUGUGGCAUGUUCCUUGUCUUCAUUUCUGCUCUAAGGAGUGGUGUGUUGAAGGGAGUGCUGCUGGAGCUCCUUCCCCUGUAAGACUGCCCCCAGGGCUGACCCCAGCACACAGCAGGCUUGCAGGAAGUACUGGUCUACGUUCUAAUCUGUAGGGCCAUGACAUUUAUCUCCUUCCUUCCUGUACCAGAGUUAUCCCCAUGGGAUAUCUCUCAGAAGUCACAGCAGCUAGAAACUGGGCCCAAGGGACAAAGGGAGACGAGAGUCACGUACUGCCACCCCUAGAAGAGAAAAGGGAAGCCAUACAACACCAGACAGCUCUGUACUUCCUGAGGACGAGGAACCGUCUGCAGCUUCCUGUUGAACAAAGACAUCCCCAGAGAGUCUAGCUCUAGAUGGAACUCGCCGAGCUGAAAGGCAUUCCGAACGUUUGGGUGUAGUCACCGUGUUCCAGGCACCUUGACUUGUGCUUAGUGCAAGUCUAUUACAAAAGCACCUAAGUAAAUCACCGUGUUAAA